UACGUAGGGGGCUAGCGUUGUCCGGAAUCAUUGGGCGUAAAGCGCGCGUAGGCGGCCCGGUAAGUCCGCUGUGAAAGUCCAGGGCUCAACCCUGGAAAGCCGGUGGAUACUGCCGGGCUAGAGUCCGGAAGAGGCGAGUGGAAUUCCUGGUGUAGCGGUGGAAUGCGCAGAUAUCAGGAAGAACACCCGUGGCGAAGGCGGCUCUCUGGGACGGUACUGACGCUGAGACGCGAAAGCGUGGGGAGCGAACAGG
rnacentral:rRNA from 1 species